rnacentral:lncRNA from 1 species
GUGCUGGGUGAGCUCCACCGCUGCCCGGGCUGCGAGCCUGACGGCUGUGUGUCGGGAAUGACGAGACCCAGGCUUGCAAAGACUUGCACGGCAACUGGAAUUUAUGACAAAUAGCUCACUGCAGCUAAACUUUGAUACAGUGUACAGUAGAACCGCCUGUUACACACAGGAGGGAGACGCGUCCUUCGUCACCAUGCAAAGCCAGCCUUAACACAACAUAGGAAAAUGUGGCAGGUCUCUAAUUACGGACUGGGAACAAGCAGAAGAGGAGUGACACUGCAGAUUCCGAGGCACUGCAGUGGGAUGUUGGCUCAGCAAGUGGCUGUGAUGUACGGGAUAGGCAUGGAACAGGAUUCCAGCUGUUCCAUGCAAAUAGGAUAAAAGAAUGGUAAAGAGGAUUCCUUUUUUUUUCCCUCCUCAAAACGUUACCAGCAAAGUACAUUCACAGAGCCUUUUUAAGGUGCCUUUUGCCAGCUUUUGAACUGAACUUGUACCAGUAUCUCAAGCCCUGAAUUGUAAGAAGAGCUGAGAGUUCUGGAACUCAUUUUUAAAAAGUAGAUCUACGAAGGUUCUAGGACGUCCGUUUCUGUUACUGGCUCCUUCUUGUGCUUGGAUGCAGCUC